GCAGCAAAGUCACCGUACCCAACGGGAAACUUCCCGCACCCAGCAGUAAACUUCCCGCACCGCGUGGGGACUACCCUCGUGCCGCAGGACUCCGCCCAGCUCCAGAGCCAUUGGAAGAAAGAAUCAUUUCAGAAGAGCCCAGGUUGAGGAGCACCAGGUGAUACCAUACAGACUGAGGGAUAAAAAGGCAUGAGAAAUUCUGUGGAAAUAAGAGUUCUUCAGACCAAGAAUGGAGAAUCUUAAGUACAUACUUCAUUAACACACUAGGAUAUAAGCUUCCUACACAGGUCAGCAAUCUUCUUGUCCCUAAAUUGAAUGGUGGAAGAAGGGAAGUCAGAACCAGCAACACAGCAUCAUUUUGGGAGAAGGGGAUGUAUUGACUAAGACAUUCUCCCUCCUCUGAAGUGAGCCCUAUUUCCAGUGGAUUUGGUUGCAAGCCCUAGAAAGUAGAGUUGGGAGCUAGGGAAAGAUUCUUCAAAAUAUUGAGAUCUCAUCUCUGAUGAAAAAGAACAACAAAAAUAAAUAAACAAUGCUCCUUCAUUGUG